UCUACUACUAUUAUGUGAGCAGUGUAGGCGUGCACAUCCCGCGGUGCACGUUCUGCCGCUCCCCCACGCCCGCGGCCGAACGCUCCGCGAAGCCACCAACGCCAUUUCCGCCGCCCGCCGCGCAUCAGUCCCGCAGCCGCCAUUCACGCCGCCCGCCGCCAUUCACGCCGCCCGCCGCGCAUCACUCCCUCCGCGCUGAGCCGCUCGCCAAUCACCGCUCGCGCAGUAUUCUGGGCGAGGGUUUCCAUCUUCCGCGGUGCAGGCCGCAAUGUUUACAGCGCGAUCCCCUUCCAUCCAGCGCGGUCCCCUCCCAUCAAUCGCGAUCCCCUUCCAUACCCCGAUAUCACCGCUCGCGCAUUCAAUCGAGCAAUCACCGCUACCGCAUCCAUGGCUUCAAUCGGUUGCCCCCGCGAUCCCCUUCCAUCCAUGGCGAGGUCGCUGGUUGUUUUCAACAGUCAACCGACAGCACUCGCUCGCCCAGAAUACUUUCGCUAUCAGAUCCUGCCCCUCGCUCGCCGCCCAAUCAACAGCUCAGACGUUGCCGCCACAUCCGAGCAAAGGUGGAGGCGUCUGCCUCCACACACCUCGCCCUCGCCACCGCCGUCCCUAGAAAAGACACGACUGUGCAGAGAAGACACGGCGGUGCAUAGAAGACAAAGGCGGUGCAGAGAAGACACGGAGGUGCGUCACAAGUUCAUGUACUGUGAACACAAUGUUGGUUAAUGAUUGUGGAAGUUUUCAUGUAUUUUUGUUAUGAGUUCAAGGUGCAGUUUCUGUAUCUGAAUUAAUUUGUGUGGCGUCGCAAAGAAAAUGUGCUUUGUAUUUGUGCCGAUUUGCAUGUAAGGUGAGGUAGAUAUAGAGUCUUUUGUUUGAUCAAGAUCAAGACAUCUCAGCUGCACGGAAAUUUGAUUUUAAUUAAAAAACAGAUGAUGCAACAUAUGAGAAAUAGAGAAGUUUAUAGUACAUCGUAGAAUUUUCCUUAUUUUCCACAUUUUCAAAUUGUUCUAUUCCCUCGCUGGAUCUGAAUUGUUAUGAGUUCAAGGUGCAGUUUCUGUAUCUGAAUUAAUUUGUGUGCCGUCGCAAAGAAAAUGUGCUUUGUAUUUGUGCCGAUUUGCAUGUAAGGUGAGGUAGAUAUAGAGCCUUUUGUUUGAUCAAGAUCAAGACAUCUCAGCUGCACGGAAAUUUGAUUUUAAUUAAAAAACAGAUGAUGCAACAUAUGAGAAAUAGAGAAGUUUAUAGUACAUCGUAGAAUUUUCCUUAUUUUCCACAUAUGAGAAAUAAAGAAGUUUAUAGCAUGACCUCUUUGAGUAUUGAUCAGUCUUAAUUCUUAUACAUUUUUAAUUCUUGUACAUUUUGGUUCAGAUCGGGCUUCAGGACAAGAACUGACAGCCCACCCCAGACUAAGCAGUGGAGAGGUAAAGCAUCACAGUACUCUGGUGAGUUUACAUUUUGCAUGUGAUUCUUAAUGCUAUUUCUGUUAUAUCAAUU